GUCCUUGUAGCUUACACAAAGCAUGACACUGAAGAUGUCAAGAUGGAUGCCACACGCACCCAAGGACA
rnacentral:tRNA from 1 species